GAUGAACGCUGGCGGCGUGCCUAAUACAUGCAAGUCGAGCGAACAGACGAGAGGCUUGCUCCUCUGACGUUAGCGGCGGACGGGUGAGUAACACGUGGAUAACCUACCUAUAAGACUGGGAUAACUUCGGGAAACCGGAGCUAAUACCGGAUAAUAUAUUGAACCGCAUGGUUCAAUAGUAAAAGACGGGUUUGCUGUCACUUAUAGAUGGAUCCGCGCCGCAUUAGCUGGUUGGUAAGGUAACGGCUUACCAAGGCGACGAUGCGUAGCCGACCUGAGAGGGUGAUCGGACACACUGGAACUGAGACACGGUCCAGACUCCUACGGGAGGCAGCAGUAGGGAAUCUUCCGCAAUUGGCGAAAGCCUGACGGAGCAACGCCGCGUGAGUGAUGAAGGUCUUCGGAUCGUAAAACUCUGUUAUUAGGGAAGAACAAAUGUGUAAGUAACUAUGCACGUCUUGACGGUGCCUAAUCAGAAAGCCACGGCUAACUACGUG
rnacentral:rRNA from 1 species